rnacentral:tRNA from 1 species
GGGCAUAGCUCAGCUGGAUAGAGCAACGGUUUUCUAAACCGUGGGUCGGGGGUUCAAGUCCCUCUGCCC